UACGUAGGGUGCGAGCGUUGUUCGGAAUCACUGGGCGUAAAGGGCGUGUAGGCGGCUUGGCAAGUCGGAAGUGAAAGCCCACGGCUCAACCGUGGAACUGCUUUCGAUACUGCCUUGCUUGAGUACGGGAGAGGAAAGCGGAAUUCCCAGUGUAGAGGUGAAAUUCGUAGAUAUUGGGAAGAACACCGGUGGCGAAGGCGGCUUUCUGGACCGAUACUGACGCUGAGACGCGAAAGCGUGGGGAGCAAACAGG
rnacentral:rRNA from 1 species